AUUGUUUUUUAAGUCAAGUGAGCGAAGCACGCUUGAGCGUGGGCUGGGUUUACUGGUUGGCGCGGGAGGGUUAAAAUCUUGGCCAUGGCCUUGAAUUCGCGGAGCCGCCGCCGAGCUUUGUAAAGGACAAAAUGGCGACGGCGGGCCGUGGCGGCGGCCCUCUCUGUGAUGAGAACCUUUUCACAGACCUGUACUGAGCUCCGUGAGGAUAAGACUCUCUGAAGAGACGGGCCUUGCCCAGCCCAAGCCCAGCACAGUCGCAGCUCCGGAAGACAAAGCGAACGUGAAGUCACGGGUGUGGAUUUAAUGUCCCUUUGUCUGCAGGGUUCGGGCGCACCUUUGAACGCUGCAGAAUGGAGAAGAGCCGACUUGCGUGGAUGCGGUUCGGCUCUAAAGACCUUAGAGGUUUGAGGGCGAGACAAGACCUGUCCCCUGAUCCCUGCGAACUAGGCCUCACUGUGAUGCUCCAGGUGGGUAUGAGGCGAUUUCUGCAGGUGCGGGUGGGCAUGGGGUCUGGUGGGGUUUGCUCUCGUCCAAAUUGUGCUGACCACUCAAUGAUGAACAUAAAAAAGACAAGCAUAUGGCUGAACUUAAAGUGAUGUCAUCUUCCUGCUGAGAAGUGGGCCGGGAGUACUCCAGGGUCUGUGAGCGACUCUUCUUGGGUACAUCAUGCCUUUCUUUUCUGCUCUAGCAUCUCAUCACUAGGCUUGAGGAACCCAACGGUCUGCCUGGGUGAAUACAGGUAAUUAAACUGUUGAAAUGGGGGAUUGGAGUGUCCUCUCUGGUUAUGCCUACAACCAGGAGAGCAAAUGGGCAAUGGAGCCAUGUUGCCUUUUUGCUCCUUCCAGCUUGUUCUUCUUGGAAUGAUUUUGCCGUGGAGGGAGAGCAGCCCAACAGUAGAGUUCUUGGGAGGGUGUGCUCUCCCUCACCCAUGUCACUGUCAGAUGAUUUGAAUAGAUCUGCUGAUCCUCUGUGAGGUGCGACAAUUAAUAGCAUGUUAGAGUUCUGAUGGCAGUUUUUGUUAACGAAGAAACUUUAUUCCACUUUGUAUUUUUAGGUAACCGUUUGUUCCCCUUUUGCAGGUUGUCCUGAAGGUGAUACAUUUAUCUGUGAUACGACUCCAUUCCCAGCGUGAGGAUCAAACUCAUGACCUCGAGCCCAGAGGUCACAUGUUGCACGGACUGAGCCAGCCAGGGGUCCCUUGAUCUAUUUCCUCUAGAUGUUCAAGAUUCUGCCCAUCGUUGAACUCCUGGCAAGUGUUAAGGAUGAAGCAGCUUGUUCCUGUGUGUUACCCCAAAGCCUCCAGAGUUAACAGGUGCUGCUACCCAUAACCUGCUUGCUAGUUCAAAGGUCCAGUACCUUUUGUGGAGCCCAAGAGUGACUUGAGGAACCCUGAGCCAUUUUUCUCCUGGGCUCCAGUGGAAGUCAGAGGUGAGUAAAUCUAGGUGCAGGGUGGCCCAAACUAGAACUUCCCAGUGAAGAAACAGUCACAUGUCCUACCUCCUGUCCUAGUCCCAGAGCCUGUAAAGGUGAACCCACUGGGGCUGGCUGGGGGAAAAGAGGAAACUUGUUCCAGAAGGAACUGUCUGAGGGAUCAUAAGUGGUUUCUAAAUAUGGGACCAUGAGUGAUAACUCUUGUUGAAGUUGAAUAUAUUUGUUUUCCAGGUCUGAAGAAAGAACAAGGCCUGUAUCCUAGGAAUCCAGUUCUUCAGGGAUGUCAAAAGGAAGUUUUCAGGUCAUUUUUUGUACAACCUAGUAGAAGUGAGCAUACAGUUGUUUAAACCUUUCUAAAUAAAAGUUUAACAUUUAUUGUU